rnacentral:rRNA from 1 species
CCUACGGGGGGCAGCAGUGGGGAAUAUUGGACAAUGGGGGGAACCCUGAUCCAGCCAUGCCGCGUGUGUGAAGAAGGCCCUCGGGUUGUAAAGCACUUUCAGUGAGGAAGAACGCCUGGUGGUUAAUACCCAUCAGGAAAGACAUCACUCACAGAAGAAGCACCGGCUAACUCCGUGCCAGCAGCCGCGGUAAUACGGAGGGUGCGAGCGUUAAUCGGAAUUACUGGGCGUAAAGCGCGCGUAGGUGGCUUGAUAAGCCGGUUGUGAAAGCCCCGGGCUCAACCUGGGAACGGCAUCCGGAACUGUCAAGCUAGAGUGCAGGAGAGGAAGGUAGAAUUCCCGGUGUAGCGGUGAAAUGCGUAGAGAUCGGGAGGAAUACCAGUGGCGAAGGCGGCAUUCUGGACUGACACUGACACUGAGGUGCGAAAGCGUGGGUAGCAAACAGGAUUAGAUACCCUAGUAGUC